rnacentral:rRNA from 1 species
GACGAACGCUGGCGGCGUGCAUAACACAUGCAAGUCGAACGCUGAAGUCCUAUCGGGGGUGGAUGAGAGGCGAACGGGAGAGUAACACGUGGGCAAUCUGCACUGUACUCCGGGAUAAGCAAUGGAAACGGGGUAUACUACCGGAUAGGACCUGUCCUCGCAUGGGGGCAGGUGGAAAGGUGCGGCGGUCCGGCAGGGGCCCGCGGGCUAUCAGCUCGUUGGUGGGGUAGUGGCCUACGAAGGCGACGACGGGUAGCCGGCCUGAGAGGGUGACCGGUCACGCUGGGACUGAGACACGGCCCAGACUCCUACGGGAGGCAGCAGUGGGAAAUCUUGCGCAAUGGGCGAAAGCCUGACGCAGCAACGCCGCGUGGGGGAUGACGGCCUUCGGGUUGUAAUCCUCUUUCGACAUCGACGAAGGGGCCCUGUUGUGGGGUUUUGACGGUAGGUGUAGAAGAAGCACCGGCUAACUACGUGCCAGCCGCCGCCGUAA